GACGUAGGGUGCGAGCGUUAAUCGGAAUUACUGGGCGUAAAGCGUGCGCAGGCGGUUCGUUGUGUCGGCGGUGAAAUCCCCGGGCUCAACCUGGGAAUGGCCGUUGAAACUGGCGAACUGGAGUGUGGCAGAGGGGGGUGGAAUUCCGCGUGUAGCAGUGAAAUGCGUAGAUAUCUGGAGGAACACCGGUGGCGAAGGCGGCAUCCUGGACCGACACUGACGCUGAGGAGCGAAAGCCAGGGGAGCAAAGCGGG
rnacentral:rRNA from 1 species